GAUGAACGCUGGCGGCGUGCCUAAUACAUGCCAGUCGAGCGAACGGACGAGAAGCUUGCUUCUCUGAUGUUAGCGGCGGACGGGUGAGUAACACGUGGAUAACCUACCUAUAAGACUGGGAUAACUUCGGGAAACCGGAGCUAAUACCGGAUAAUAUUUUGAACCGCAUGGUUCAAUAGUGAAAGACGGUUUUGCUGUCACUUAUAGAUGGAUCCGCGCUGCAUUAGCUAGUUGGUAAGGUAACGGCUUACCAAGGCAACGAUGCAUAGCCGACCUGAGAGGGUGAUCGGCCACACUGGAACUGAGACACGGUCCAGACUCCUACGGGAGGCAGCAGUAGGGAAUCUUCCGCAAUGGGCGAAAGCCUGACGGAGCAACGCCGCGUGAGUGAUGAAGGUCUUCGGAUCGUAAAACUCUGUUAUUAGGGAAGAACAUAUGUGUAAGUAACUGUGCACAUCUUGACGGUACCUAAUCAGAAAGCCACGGCUAACUACGUG
rnacentral:rRNA from 1 species